AAUAUUGGGCAAUGGACGCAAGUCUGACCCAGCCAUGCCGCGUGCAGGAUGAAGGCCUUCUGGGUUGUAAACUGCUUUUAUCUAGGAAGAAAACACCCCUGCGGGGGGAACUGACGGUACUAGGUGAAUAAGCACCGGCUAACUCCGUGCCAGCAGCCGCGGUAAUACGGAGGGUGCAAGCGUUGUCCGGAUUUAUUGGGUUUAAAGGGUGCGUAGGCGGCCUUAUAAGUCAGUGGUGAAAGCCCACAGCUCAACUGUGGAACUGCCAUUGAUACUGUAAGGCUUGAGUACAGACGAGGUAGGCGGAAUUGAUGGUGUAGCGGUGAAAUGCAUAGAUACCAUCAAGAACACCGAUUGCGUAGGCAGUUUACUAGGCUGUAACUGACGCUGAGGCACGAAAGCGUGGGGAGCGAAC
rnacentral:rRNA from 1 species